rnacentral:tRNA from 1 species
GGGCCCAUAGCUCAGUUGGUCAGAGCCCCCGGCUCAUAACCGGAUGGUCCCAGGUUCGAAUCCUGGUGGGCCCACCA